GCGGUAUCAAAUCCCCGCCAUCUGUGGAUUCCAUCCCUACGGUUGUCUGGCCGCUGCCUAAUUAUAUACCUACUUUCCCAAAAACAGCUCUCUGCUUUGAGAAAACAGGCAGCAAUCAGGCUUUCUCUGUCUGCACUGUUGUUCAGUGAGGAAACAAAAAUAAAGCGCUUCCUCACAACAAACACAACAAAUGCAAAUUCUUAUUAAAUCAAAGACGAGCUAACAUUAAUAUUGCCAAG
rnacentral:misc_RNA from 1 species